rnacentral:rRNA from 1 species
AACGAACGCUGGCGGCAGGCUUAACACAUGCAAGUCGAGCGCCCCGCAAGGGGAGCGGCAGACGGGUGAGUAACGCGUGGGAAUCUACCGUGCCCUACGGAAUAACUCCGGGAAACUGGAACUAAUACCGUAUACGCCCUUCGGGGGAAAGAUUUAUCGGGGUAUGAUGAGCCCGCGUUGGAUUAGCUAGUUGGUGGGGUAAAGGCCUACCAAGGCGACGAUCCAUAGCUGGUCUGAGAGGAUGAUCAGCCACAUUGGGACUGAGACGCGGCCCAAACUCCUACGGGAGGCAGCAGUGGGGAGUCUUGGACAAUGGGCGCAAGCCUGAUCCAGCCAUGCCGCGUGAGUGACGAAGGUCUUCGGAUUGUAAAGCUCUUUUGGCGGGGACGAUAAUGACGGUACCCGCAGAAUAAGCCCCGGCUAACUUCGUGCCAGCAGCCGCAGUAACAC